CACCAAUCUCGUUAGAUCACCGAAGUCAAGCAUCAUUGGGCGCGGUCAGUACUUGGGUGGGUGACCACCUGGGAACACCUCGUGCCGUU